UGGUUCAGGGUCCCAUUUUCCCACAGCACUGCUGUAUACGAGGGCAGGACAAACAAAUGGUUACUGUUGAGAUUCACUUCUGCCUUUAUAAGGCCAAGUGGUGGUCUUCAAGUGACGCGGUCUUGGCUUGAGGGUCUCGGCUACAUCCACGACUGGCAAUAUGGCUUGAAAAGCCAUUAGGCAGACACUGGAGAGCGACAUACAAAAAGUUGUUUUGGUUUCCAGGUUUGCUAAAGCUAGUAUUACCUCAUCUAUGAGCGUUUGGGAGGGUAGCUGCUGGAGCAAGCCACUCUGCAAGAUAAUAUUGCUGAGCUGGUCAAGUUGUCCAGCUGCUGCUGUCUGGGACAUGAAUUCCUCCCUCUCAUCUGGUUGCUUGACAGGAACCUGUGUGGUUGGUCCUUCGACUAACGGCGAUGUCACAGCUUCUGCCUCUACAUACUGUUUCAGCCGGUCUAAGGAAACCUUCUGCUUCAGCCUUUGACCGUCUGCAAGGAGGCAGGCUGUCAUUCCCUGUAUAUGAUCAAUCGUAUAAGGGCCUGUAUAGUUAGCUUGAAGGUUUCCUUUUCGGGUGGCUGUCUUAGCACGAAGGAGGAGCACUCGAUUGCCUUCUUUUAAAGCAACAUAUUUUUUGGUUUGCCUCAUUUUGAAGUCCUUUUGUUGCUUUCUAUGUGCAGUGUCUAUGUUGGUGGUCACCUCAUCCAUUGCUCUUUUUCUUAUGUGUGUUAUGUUUUCUACCAUCUCUUCCUCUUCUUGUGGUGUUACAGUAGGAAUCUGCA